GACGAACGCUGGCGGCGUGCUUAACACAUGCAAGUCGAACGGAAAGGCCCUGCUUUUGUGGGGUGCUCGAGUGGCGAACGGGUGAGUAACACGUGAGUAACCUGCCCUUGACUUUGGGAUAACUUCAGGAAACUGGGGCUAAUACCGGAUAGGAGCUCCUGCUGCAUGGUGGGGGUUGGAAAGUUUCGGCGGUUGGGGAUGGACGCGCGGCUUAUCAGCUUGUUGGUGGGGUAGUGGCUUACCAAGGCUUUGACGGGUAGCCGGCCUGAGAGGGUGACCGGCCACAUUGGGACUGAGAGAGGCACCAGACUCCUACGGGAGGCAGCAGGGGGGAAUAUUGCACAAUGGGCGGAAGCCUGAGAAAGCAACGCCGCGGUCGGGAUGACGGCCUUCGGGGUGUAAACCGCUUUAGCCUGUGACGAAGCGGGAGUGACGGUAAUGGGUAAAGAAGCACCGGCUAACUACGUG
rnacentral:rRNA from 1 species